UACGGGGGGGGCUAGCGUUAUUCGGAAUUACUGGGUGUAAAGGGCGCGUAGGCGGCCUUGCCAGUCAGGUGUGAAAUCCCUCGGCUCAACUGAGGAACUGCGCUUGAUACUGCAAGGCUUGAGUACAGGAGAGGUGGGCGGAAUUCCCGGUGUAGCGGUGAAAUGCGUAGAUAUCGGGAAGAACAUCGGUGGCGAAGGCGGCUCACUGGACUGUAACUGACGCUGAGGCGCGAAAGCGUGGGGAGCGAACGGG
rnacentral:rRNA from 1 species